rnacentral:rRNA from 1 species
CCUUCGGGAGGCAGCAGUGGGGAAUAUUGCACAAUGGGGGAAACCCUGAUGCAGCGACGCCGCGUGAGUGAAGACGUAUUUCGGUAUGUAAAGCUCUAUCAGCAGGGAAGCAGCAAGACGGUACCUGACUCAGAAGCCCCGGCUAACUACGUGCCAGAAGCCGCGGUCAUACGUAGGGGGCAAGCGUUAUCCGGCAUUACUGGGGGUAAAGGGAGCGUAGACGGUAUGGCAAGUCUGAAGUGAAAGCCCAGGGCUUAACCCUGGGACUGCUUUUGACACGGUUAGACUAGAGUGCUGGGGGGGUAAGUGGAAUUCCUAGUGUAGCGGUGAAAUGCGUAGAUAUUAGGAGGAACACCAGUGGCGAAGGCGGCUUACUGGACAGUAACUGACGGUGAGGCUCGAAAGCGUGGGGAGCAAACAGGAUUAGAUACCCCAGUAGUC